AGGGAAAGUUCUUACUCACUCUUCCCCAAAGGAAGGGGAGUAGCUCUGCUCUUGAUAAGACAGGACAUCUGUUGGCCCGUUUACCCGAGGGUGGGGUCGUUGAGCCACAGAAGCUCCGAAGUUCCACCCAUCUCUUUUUUGUGCUGCCUGCAUCGUGGGUGGUGAGCACAGAGGGUUCUUCUUUCGGCUUCCUGUUCCCUGUGCCGUUGGCCAGCCUACAGAAUUGAUCUGCUCUGCUACUGCUUUCACAAGUUGAUCCACAUUUGAGAUAAAAUGAAGAUUUUUGAGGCCAAAGAGGAAUUGCAGAGAAGAUAAAUCCUGAAUACCUUCCAAACAUUUCAAAACGUAUCCUCUCUUCAGACAAUGAGAAAGGAUAUUUGUCGUCCUGGCUUGUCCCCAGAC